rnacentral:rRNA from 1 species
GACGAACGCUGGCGGCGUGCUUAACACAUGCAAGUCGAACGAAGAGCGAUGGAAGCUUGCUUCUAUCAAUCUUAGUGGCGAACGGGUGAGUAACGCGUAAUCAACCUGCCCUUCAGAGGGGGACAACAGUUGGAAACGACUGCUAAUACCGCAUACGAUCCAAUCUCGGCAUCGGGACGGGAUGAAAGGUGGCCUCUAUUUAUAGGCUAUCACUGGAGGAGGGGAUUGCGUCUGAUUAGGUAGUUGGAGGGGUAACGGCCCACCAAGGCGAUGAUCCGUAGCCGGGCCGAGAGGAUGGACGGCCACCUCGGGAAUGAGAAACGGCCCAGACCUCUAAGGGAGGCAGCAGUGGGGGAACUUCCGCAAUGGACGAAAGUCUGAAGGAGCAACGACGCGGGAGUGAUGACGGCCUUCGGGUUGUAAAGCUCUGUUAAUCGGGACGAAAGGUUCUUGGGCGAAUAGUGCGAGGAUUUGACGGUACCGGAAUAGAAAGCCACGGCUAACUACGUG